UACGGGGGGGGUAAGCGUUGUUCGGAAUUGCUGGGCGUAAAGGGCUCGUAGGCGGCCAACUAAGUCGGACGUGAAAUCCCUCAGCUUAACUGGGGAACUGCGUCCGAUACUGGAUGGCUUGGAUUUGGGAGAGGGAUGCGGAAUUCCAGGUGUAGCGGUGAAAUGCGUAGAUAUCUGGAGGAACACCGGUGGCGAAGGCGGCAUCCUGGACCGGUAUUGACGCUGAGGCGCGAAAGCCAGGGGAGCAAACGGG
rnacentral:rRNA from 1 species